rnacentral:rRNA from 1 species
GGUUUGUUCUGGCUCAGAUUGAACGCCAUGGAUGCUUUACACAUGCAAGUCGAACGGCAGCACGGACUUCGGUCUUAGUGGCGAGUGGCGAACGGUGAGUAAUGUAUCGGAACGUGCCUAGUAGCGGGGGAUAACUACGCGAAAGCGUAGCUAAUACCGCAUACCGCCCUUCGGGGGAAAGCGGGGACCUUUCGGGCCUCGCACUAUUAGAGCGGCCGAUAUCGGAUUAGCUGCUUUGGUGGGGUGGCUCACUCAAGGCGACGAUCCGUAGCUGGUUUGAGAGGGACACCAGCCACACUGGGCCGAGACAGCCCGCAGACUCCUACGGGAGGCAGCAGUGUGGGGAAUUUUGGACAAUGGGGGAAACCUGAUCCAGCCAUCCGCGUGUGCGAUGAAGGCCUUCGGGUUGUAAAGCACUUUUGGCAGGAAAGAAACGGCACGGGAUAAUACUCCGUGCAACCACGGUACCUGCAGAAUAAGCACCGGCUAACUACGUGCCAGCAGCCGCGGUAAUACGUAGGGUGCAAGCGUUAAUCGGAAUUGUCAGGCGUAAAGCGUGCGCAGGCGGUUCGGUGCCAGAUGUGAAAUCCUGUAGAGCUUAACUUUGAACUGCAUUUUUAACUACCGAGCUAGAGUGUGUCAGAGGGAGGUGGAAUUCCGCGUGGGCAGUGAAAUGCGUAGAUAUGCGGAGGGCCUACCGAUGGCGAAGGCAGCCUCCUGGGAGAAACACUGACGCCUGCGCACGAAAGCGUGGGGGAGCAAACAGGAUUAGAUACCCCGGUAGUCCACGCCCUAAACGAUGUCAAUCAGUUGCUGGGGCCUUCGGGCCUUGGUAGCGCAGCCAACGCGUGAAGUUGACCGCCUGGGAGUACGGUCGCAAGAUUAAAAUCAGCAAUUGAUUGGGACCCGCAAUGUGUUGGUGGAUGAUGUGGAUUAAUUCGAUGCAACGCGAAACCCUUACCUACCCAUGUCUGGAAUCCCAAAGAGAUUUGGGAGUGCUCGCAAGAGAACCGAACACAGAAAGCGUAUGGCUGUCGUCAGCUGUGUCGUGAGAUGUUAAGAAGUUAAGUCCCGCAACGAGCGCAACCCUUGUCAUUAGUUGCUACGAAAGGGCACUCUAUCGAGACUGCCGGUGACAAACCGGAGGAAGGUGGGAUGACGUCGCUCUCAUGGCCCCUAUGGGUAGGGCUGUCACACGUCAUACAAUGGUCGGACAGGGUCGCCAACCCGCGAGGGGGAGCCAGAUCCCAGAAACCCGAUCGUGAAAUCCUGGAUCGUAGUCUGCAGUAACUCGACUGCGUGAAGUCGGAAUCGCUAGUAAUCACAUCAGCAUGUCGCGGUGAAUACGUUCCCGGGUCUUGUACACACCGCCCGUCACACCAUGGGAGUGGGUUUACCAGAAGUAGUUAGGCCUAACCGUAAGAUACUUACCACGGUAGGACCAUGACUGGGUGAAGUCGUAACAGGCGUAG